CAGAUAAAGCUUCAUCUUACUCCCUUGAAAGAGAUGAUGGACAGAAUGGUUUCAGCUCUGAUGAAGAGGAUCUUCCAUCGAUUUCUAUAUGGUGUGUUAUUUGUCAGUCUCAAUUUGCUAUUGUUUUGUGGUGUCUGUUUACUACAGAUUUUUGUGCCUCAAUAGAACGGGUGGAGCAGUGAAGAAAACAAACUCUAUCGAUGGACUUCCUUGCCUGCACAUGAAGACCCCCCUGAUGAGCCUUCUCCCUGUGAUCAUGACCCUGUUUUCCCAGAAUCACAGAAUGUCCUUUGUGAAAAGGACAUCAUAGGUGUCAGAGCCUCCAUAGUGUACGAGAACUGCUUAAGACAACUGGCUACAUUUCUGAUCCUGCCUGUGGAUAAAUGCAUGAACAUUUACACUUUACACACAGACUAUAGUUGAAUGCCUGUAUUUUACAGUAAAGGAGAGUCCAUCCUCUUCAACUGGCUUAAGGACAUUUUCGGUGGUGUUGCAAGACUGCCGACACACGGGCAGUUUCUUGCAUUAUGGGUUGGCAUCCUUCACUAUGUCUGCAACAUUCACACCUGGACUAUGGGUUGUUGUAAACACGGGCACCUUGAAUCGGAUCAAAUGCAGGGACAGAUGUGGAUCCAGAGAGACUCCCAGUGCCACAAAGCUUUAGUGGAUAUAGUUCUCAAUAAGAGGUGGCAGAAAGAUGUUCACAACUAUCUGCGAUUCAGAUCGACUGCAGACCUAGAGUCAUUCCAGAAUGGAGUCCUCUGGAGUGGGGAUGCCUAGAAGCAGGAGCCUUCUCCCAGAUGACCCCAGACAGCUUGGUUUGGUGCCCCCUGUACCUGCACCAGCCACAUUAGACUUGUUGAAGAGACAAGUCAGAAGAGGUCUAGGACCGUUCUUCCAACCAGCAUCUGAUGUGGAAGGAUCCCCACAGGAGAUCACCCUGCAUGUGUCCUGGUACUUGUCAGGCAGCAUCACAAGGGAAAGAACUUCAAUUCACUGACAAAGUCAUAGCUUUUACUCUUGAAAAACAAAAAUUUAUUAACAUUAAAUUUUGUUCCUACCCUCCUCCAGUGGUUAUUUCAUGUUUUUCCAUUUUGUACACGUUUCAUCUUAUUGUGCUAAGUACACUGUGAGCAGAGGAUAUUAUUUUCAGUAGGUAGCCUAAAUUACAGUUUACAAUUUGAACAGUAAUGAUAAGUAAGGCUACA